rnacentral:rRNA from 1 species
GAUGAACGCUGGCGGCGUGCCUAACACAUGCAAGUCGAGCGGUGUUGUUUAGCUUGCUAAACAAUAUAGCGGCGGACGGGUGAGUAACGCGUGGGUAACCUGCCUUAUACAGGGGAAUAACAAUGAGAAAUCAUUGCUAAAACCGCAUAAGCUUACAGUAUGGCAUCAUACAGUAAGAAAAUAUUAAUAGGUAUAAGAGGGGCCCGCGACUGAUUAGCUAGUUGGUAGGGUAAAAGCCAACCAAGGCGACGAUCAGUAGCCGACCUGAGAGGGUGAUCGGCCACAUUGGGACUGAGACACGGCCCAAACUCCUACGGGAGGCAGCAGUGGGGAAUAUUGCACAAUGGGGGAAACCCUGAUGCAGCAACGCCGCGUGAAGGAAGAAGGUCUUCGGAUUGUAAACUUCUAUCGAUGGAGAAGAAAGAAAUGACGGUAUCCAAAUAAGAAGCCCCGGCUAACUACGUGCCAGCCGCCGCCGUAAGAC